rnacentral:rRNA from 1 species
CCUACGGGAGGCUGCAGUGAGGAAUAUUGGUCAAUGGGCGCGAGCCUGAACCAGCCAAGCAGCGUGAAGGAUGACUGCCCUACGGGUUGUAAACUUCUUUUAUAAAGGAAUAAAGUGAGGCACGCGUUCCCUUUUGUAUGUACUUUAUGAAUAAGCAUCGGCUAACUCCGUGCCAGCAGCCGCGGUAAUACGGAGGAUCCGAGCGUUAUCCGGAAUUAUUGGGUUUAAAGGGAGCGUAGAAUGGUUGUUAAGUCAGUUGUGAAAGUUUGCGGCUCAACCGUAAAAGUGCAAUUGAUACUGGCAGGCUUGAGUACAGUUGAGGUAGGCGGAAUUCGUGGUGUAGCGGUGAAAUGCGUAGAUAUCACGAAGAACUCCGAUUGCGAAGGUAGCUUACUAAACUGCCACUGACAUUGAUGCUCGAAAGUGUGGGUAUCAAACAGGAUUAGAUACCCCAGUAGUC